GGGUCCUUAGCUCAGUGGUAGAGCAUUUAACUGCAGAUCAAGAGGUCACCGGUUCGAACCCGGUAGGGCCCU
rnacentral:tRNA from 1 species